UACGAAGGGGGCUAGCGUUGCUCGGAAUCACUGGGCGUAAAGGGUGCGUAGGCGGGUCUUUAAGUCAGGGGUGAAAUCCUGGAGCUCAACUCCAGAACUGCCUUUGAUACUGGCGACCUUGAGUCCGGGAGAGGUGAGUGGAACUGCGAGUGUAGAGGUGAAAUUCGUAGAUAUUCGGAAGAACACCAGUGGCGAAGGCGGCUCACUGGACCGUUGUUGACGCUGAGGUGCGAAAGCGUGGGGAGCAAACAGG
rnacentral:rRNA from 1 species